GACGAACGCUGGCGGCGUGCCUAAUACAUGCAAGUUGAGCGCUGAAGGAUGGUACUUGUGCCCACUGGAUGAGCAGCGGACGGGUGAGUAACGCGUGGGGAAUCUGCCUCUGAGCGGGGGACAACAUUGGGAAACGAAUGCUAAUACCGCAUAAAAACUUUAAACACAAGAUUUAAGUUUGAAAGAUGCAAUUGCAUCACUCAAAGAUGAUCCCGCGUUGUAUUAGCUAGUUGGGGAGGUAAAGGCUCACCAAGGCGAUGGUACAUAGCCGACCUGAGAGGGUGAUCGGCCACAUUGGGACUGGGACACGGCCCCAACUCCUACGGGAGGCAGCCGUAGGGGAUCUUCGGCCAUGGACGGAAGGCUGACCGAGCAACGCCGCGUGAGUGGAGAAGGUUUUCGGAUCGUAAAACUCUGUUGGUAGAGAAGAACGUUGGUGAGAGUGGAAAGCUCAUCAAGUGACGGUAACUACACAGAAAGCGACGGCUAACUACGUG
rnacentral:rRNA from 1 species